UACGUAGGGGGCAAGCGUUAUCCGGAUUUACUGGGUGUAAAGGGAGCGUAGACGGCCAGACAAGUCUGAAGUGAAAAUCCAGCGCUUAACGUUGGAAGUGCUUUGGAAACUGCCGGGCUAGAGUGCAGGAGGGGCAGGCGGAAUUCCUAGCGUAGCGGUGAAAUGCGUAGAUAUUAGGAGGAACACCAGUGGCGAAGGCGGCCUGCUGGACUGCAACUGACGUUGAGGCUCGAAGGCGUGGGGAGCAAACAGG
rnacentral:rRNA from 1 species